rnacentral:rRNA from 1 species
AUUGAACGCUGGCGGCAUGCCUUACACAUGCAAGUCGAACGGUAACAGGUCUUCGGAUGCUGACGAGUGGCGAACGGGUGAGUAAUACAUCGGAACGUGCCUAGUAGUGGGGGAUAACUACUCGAAAGAGUGGCUAAUACCGCAUGAGAUCUACGGAUGAAAGCAGGGGAUCGCAAGACCUUGUGCUACUAGAGCGGCCGAUGGGAGAUUAGGUAGUUGGUGGGAUAAAAGCUUACCAAGCCGACGAUCUGUAGCUGGUCUGAGAGGACGAUCAGCCACGCUGGGAAUGAGACACGGCCCAGACUCGUGCGGGAGGCAGCAGUGGGGAAUUUUGGACAAUGGGCGAAAGCCUGAUCCAGCAAUGCCGCGUGCAGGAUGAGGGCCUUCGGGUUGUAAACUGCUUUUGUACGGAACGAAAAGCCCCGGGUUAAUACCCUGGGGUCAUGACGGUACCGUAAGAAUAAGCACCGGCUAACUACGUGCCAGCCGCCGCAGUAA